GAGAUCGGUCGGUUUUUUGUUCGUGUCCUCGAUUUUAAGUAGUGAGGUUUUACUUUGUGGGUUAGAUAAAUUCUUUAUACCAGUUGAUGGUGCCCUUAAAACUCUCCCAUCUUUCAAUCUCAGCCGUAAUAACUCAAGAAUUACGGCUAAUCGACCAACGGUUUUCAGCUCCUCCCCGCAUUUCUCACAGUCGAUCGUUUCUCCUCCUAUGUUCAAUCGGUUUUCAGGUUCCUUCCAAGACAUGGUAGUUCUCCUUCAAUCAUCACGAUACGGAACCUUCUUAGUCGGUAACUGCCCAAACCACGACCUAGAAAUCGGGCUUAUAUAAAUAUAUAAUGAUCCGUCUAUGUUUAAUGGUUCUAUGUUUCAAUCAAUGUAUUGAAUUGCUUCAUUUGAUGUUAACAAUUAUGGAUUCAAGUUCAGCUAAAAAUAGUUCACCUAAGGUAAAUUUAUCGACUUCUACUUAAUUUUUCAAUGUUUCAAUGAGUUUCAUCAAUUGAUUCCUUUUGUGAACAAUUAUCGAUAUACAAUUUCGUCUCAAAUAGUCUUCAACUAAGGUAAAAUCUUUACAAUUAGUUAAUUUUAUGUUUUACAUUCGUAGUUUUUUACCAUCCGACUUCGAUUUGUACUUCAUUUCAUCUUCAAUUUCGUUGUAUAAUCGACUUUAAUGUUCAUUUAUGUUUGUAUAAUCGACAAUCUUAUUGCUUUGAUCUGUAUCGUACUCAAUUUCAGGUUUCUUAAAUUCUUAAUGUAUACCGAUUAAAUUGGUUUGUUUGGGCUCUUUGGCUUUCAAUAAGGUUAACCCUCCCUUUCUUUGUCCCGAUUCCAAUUUAUGUAAAUGUUUGGGCUAUCUAAGAUGAUUAUGCUAAUUUCUUUUUUAUUACUUUAUUAUAAAUAAAUAAUUUAUUGCAUGAUACAGAGUGAUAAAUUUUUUUUGGAACUGCAGUUCCAAAUUUACUGCUUCAGCACAAUCCUUUAGCUAAUAAUCACCACCCUGUAAUGUAUAGUGAAGCAUUUGGUUUACAUUUUUGCAGGACCUGAUUAUUUAACAACUAGCAGAAGGAUAAUCUGCAAACCACAGGAAGAGGUUUGAUGUCUAAGAAUGAUGAUACUGAAGAUUUGAUGCUUGAACAUGAAUUAUAUUUAAUCACUCUACAAUCCCGUCUUAUAAAACUCCACAUACCUCAAAAUUGUCUCAAAAUUACAACUGUUCAAUAUUUUUCUUAUUCUUGUCAAUAUUUUCCAGUAAUCAAAUGAACCUAGCAUUUAAUUAUCUUUAUUCAACCUCCUGAAACUUUAUAUGUUUUGUUCGCUAAUAUCCAUUUUCAACAAUUUCAUUUCUUUAAGCAUUUAAAUUUAUAAAGUUGAAGUCCCAUAGAUUGGGCACAACUUUUUCCUAACCCGAUAUGUUGCUCCAAUUAGUACUUUGUGAUGUUUCAAAUGAAAAUUUUCAAUGAUGGGGACUUCAUGGAAAGUAAAAGAAAAUAAAAAAGGUCAAUAAUAUCUUUUUUGUUUUAUUUGCGAUUGGAUUUACCGGCUUGUAGGACAUUUUUGGGAAUGAAAUCUUAUUUUCUAUAUUUUUUAUACUUUUUGCAGGUUUUGAUCUAGAUCGUGUGUGUUGAGCUGACAAAAAUCGACCCAACCCGCCAACCCAACCUAAAAUUAGCGGGUUGGGUUGAAAUUUUCAACCCAUUUAACUUAAAUGGGUCAACCGUCUAACCCAUUUAAUUAAAUAGAUUGGGUUGGAUAUAAAUUAUCAACUCGUUUUCAACCCGUCAAUNUCAACCCAUUUAACUUAUAUAUAUAUAUAUAUAUAUAUAUAUAUAAUUUAAUAUUAUUUGAAUAUUAUCAUGUAUUAAUCAAAGUAUUAAUUUGUAAAUUAUAAUGUUGCAUUAUUAUUAUCUGUGUUUAAUAAAAUUCAAUCCUAAUUUCCAUCUUUUUUUUAACGCCGAUAAUACCGGUCACUCUCCAAAAUCACUGUGAAACUAAACAUUUUUAAUGUUAUUUGCACAAUUUAUUUGUAUUUAUGAAUUAGGAUUGUGCUUUUGUCGUAAUUAUGAAGUUUUAUUUACGUUUUAUAAUUUAAGUGGUAUAAUAUUUAAUUAUAUAAUUUAUUUAAUUGAUUUUAAAUGGGUUAACCCAAGUUUAACCCAUUUAUUUAAUAGGUUGGGUUGGGAACUACAUAAAAAAGUUAACCCAAUGACAACCCAUUUAUCUAAAAGGUUGCUUUGGGUUGGAAAUAUCAACCCAAAUAAACAGAUUCGGUUGGGUUGAAAUUUCCAACCCAAUUAUUAAAUGGGUUAAACACGAACUCAAACCAGGUCGACCCAUUGCAACCUUUAUGUGUGUGCAUUUCCUCCAGAGCAUCCUUUAUCCACAUCCAGACCUCUUCGUGAUUCUCUUGGA
rnacentral:lncRNA from 1 species